rnacentral:piRNA from 1 species
UUCUUUAAGAUGCUACCGUGGUC